UUUCUUGAAAGUCGUUUCUUCACUCUUGCUAUCUUCUUCUCUCUCAUACCAUCGUUUUGCAGUCUAUGCCCAUCCUUCAUCUCUUCUUAUCUCAUGAAACAGUCAAACUCCAUGCCUCAAAACCAGUAAUCACCAAAUAAAAGAGGCAAAUCGAUGUAGAAUCCCAAGCAAUUGAACAUUAGGUGUAAGCACAGAGAUCGGAAGAGCCCAACCAAAUUGAACACCAGCAUCUAUAAUUUUCUAGCUUUGAUGGUGUUAAAGGCUGUUCAAUUUGUAAGAAGAAAAAACAAAUGACUACUUGUACUAUCACACGGUUCCUAACAAGGAAGAGUUCGGCUACAAGAAGACAUAUGGCUCGGUAAGAAAGUGCUUCAUUGUUUUGCAUCUUAUUAGACAAGAUGAGGAGUUGAGAAAAUGUGGAUCCCAACAGUCUCUAUGACUUAUAUUUUAUCCAUUUCAAAUUAAAGUUAGAGCAAGGAUUGAGAAGUGGGUUAUCAAGAGGUCUUUGAUGAUGGGGAGCAUCCCUACCUUCAAAUGACGUAGAUUUUCAUUUUGCAGCUGAUUUCUAAGUGAUUUGUAUGGUUAAAUUGUUAAUGAAGACCAACAUUUACUUGCCUUUCAUCCUAUUUUUUAUAGGCAGAAAAAGCAAUUCAGUGAAAGUGUAGGCUAUAGUUGGUAACAUAGACUCAAAGCCUCAUGCUGAACAUGUUAUUUCAGUAUCCAUAUUUACGAUUGCUUUA